AGAAGGAAAAGGUCGCUCAAGAAGUGGGCAGGUGGAGAACGCGACUUCGGAUUGGUUGAUGGGUGGGCGGCUCGCCUCCUUACUGGGUUAAAAGCUUGGGGUUCAGUUACAUCUGUGAUCAAAAAAGAUCAGAAGACAGGAGGAGAGUGAGUUCAUGGUCUUCAUUUUUCCAUUUUCAUUUCUGGUGGUUGCUGAAGGCUAGCUGAGUUUUUCCAGUGAAGAAUACAGUUCCUGUUGUGUGUGUGUUCAGGAUAUCUAUUGCCUUAUUGAUGUUCUCUCUAGAGGAUCUGUCCAUUGAGCCGCAGAGAGAAGAAGCUGCCCAAGAAUGGAAAGGAAGAAAUAUAUCACAUCAUCUGUCUGUCCACAGGCUUUCCUUGGGGCUUAUGAAGAUUUCCUCAUGGCAGUGUUUCUUCUUCACCCCUUUGAAUUCAAAAGGAUGGCAUAGAUGUCAAAAAUAGUCCCUUUUCCAACUUCCUACAAAUUUCUCUCUGCCUGUGGUUUUGAGCCAUUUGCUGCCUCCUAAUGCCUGAUUUUAAAAUAGCACACAUGGCAAACUGCCAAGAAGGUGGCAGUGGGUAUUGGUUUGUAUUGGUAUUGAAGUUCUCAAGGUUGUUGUUACCCAUAAUUUACAACAGUUGCUACAAAACAGAUGAUUAAAACCUGAGGGGUAGGAGGAAAGGAGAAGAGUAAAAUUGAUUGGUACACUUCUUGAUGGAUCUAAGUGUGGUUUCUUCCCGUGAAAACAAGUUGGAUUAUUGUGUUGUCUAUGUGAACAUAAUGUUCAAGAUGAUCUGUGCUGUUCCAUCAUUGCCUACAGUCUUAAACUGAUAGAGAAGCACAAUAUGAAAGAGCUUUUGUUUGAAAUAUGUAAUUACUUAUACCAGUUAUACAGAUUUUUUUUAUUUCAUUCCUUUUUGUAAAAAAUUAAGCUUGUUAAAUUGAGAUUGUUGCUAUUUUUUAGUUCUUAAAAUAAAAAUUUUAUUAU
rnacentral:lncRNA from 1 species